AACUCCUCCGGCCUAGGUCUGUGAAAAAGCUUCUGCCCCUUUAAUUCAUCAAAUGCAGAAAAACUGGCAUAGCCAGUAUCUACAAGCCACAUUCCAAGGGGAGAUGUUUUCAAUUCACUCAUUAUAGAAAGGUCAGUCAGGUUCAAGUUCAAUGUCAUGGAAAAGAAGUCCUCUCUACAAGGAGUACCACCCACACAUGGAAAAGUGGAGGGAGAAUUAGAUGAACUAUGUAACCUAAUUUUUUGGGCAAAUACAAGAAAAUUAGCCCUGUGUGCUAUUUGAAUUUAAAACCACAUAUUAACAAUUCAGCUGUAGAAGGUGACGGCAACCACAACAAAGUAAACACGCUCUCCAAACCACUCGGCCGUAAUGAUGUUAUUAGUAUGCAUGUUGCUGAGCCCAGAUGUAGCCUUUAGCAGCCGAAGCCCUUCCAGUGCUUUUUGUUCUAAUGGCUUCAGACUCUUUUUCAAAGUGGGCCACUCAGAGACCACCACGACUAGAGGAGUAGAAUUGGAGGAUAAUUCACACUGGCAAAUGGAACAUGGCCGCCACGCAUUCAUCUUCACCAUAUCCCAUUGUCUGCCAUGAUAAUAAAAGAUGUCUGCUGGAAGGCAGUGAAGCACCUGUGUAGACCAUGGGUUAAGUGUGUGGGAGCCCCUGCUGGGGCUGGGCUUGGAGAGGUUGCUCCUGUGGGCUGAUGGCAAAGCUGUUAUCUGUGGAUGGGAGAAGGACGCGACAGGCACAUCUCCUCUUGUGUGUACCCUCCCAGGGAUUUCACCUUUGUGAAAGUGAGGAUGGACUGGCCUUCACUUACAUGAGUUUCAAUAGAAAAAUUGUACUUAAGGCAGUAGUGACUCACAUGCAUGCAAACCACCUGCCAGCUUUGAGAGCGAGGGCCCACAUCUGUGUCUCCAUUCCGGCUUGGCUUCAGAAAGAGCCUUGGAAAUGUACAAAAAUGUGAAGAGCAACCCUGACUUUCACAACACAAAGUCUUUGGAAAGCACACCAAAAACCCAAAGUAUUUUGGUUGAUUCUGUUUUUCUAUUAUAGUUCAAGUCAAUCUCUCCAGCAGUUUUAGGUCUUUUUCUUGUAGGGGGUCAUUCUCUCUAUUUUAGUUUUAUUAUAGCAGAUAUCUAGAAAUCAGAGUUAGUGUUGUUUUCCAUUUUGAACCCAAAGUAGGCAAACACCAGUAAAACUUGGGGUGUAGGAUGUGAUUUAGUAUAGGUUAACAUAGUGCAGGGAAUGUUUUGCAAUAAAUUUUAAAUUAGGGGGAAUAUAUUUACUGUCUGUCAUGUAAUGUGGCUUAUGAACUAUAGGUUUGGUAUUUGGAGGGAUGUGUAAGAAAUGAUAAUUAGGUGUGUGUGUGUGUGUGUGUGUGUGUGUGUGUGUGUGUAGUUAGUGAUAUUUGUUUAAAACAGUGUACUGUAAAACUGAAUUCAUUUAUGCUUCUCACUUUGUUCAGCCUCUCCUAGACAAAUAAUAAAAGAUACCAAUGAUAUCUUACUUUACAAUAAGCUUUAAUGAUAGAGACAGCUGAUAAAACACAGAUGAGCUAUCUGUUCAAGAGCAGUACUAAAACCAGUAAACAGAAUUGGUGGUGGUGGUUUGUGCAUGAGUGUGAGAGAGAAAAACUGAAACUUCUAAUAGUGAUCAGAUGUUUGAAGAUGGUCCUUGUUCUUUUCUUUUUAAUUUUCAAAAUUUGUAUUGCCUGGGAUUAUAUGCAACAAAUUAGAACAGGGUCUCACCUGAUUUGCUUUGACUGAGAGAAGACUUGUCACAGCAACAAAGCCAUUUCAUACAUGCAUGCUACUCGUUUAUAGUGCCAUUUGAUACAUUAAGCUUUCCUUUUUGUUUUGCAAAAUAAUGAUUUAAAUGCAAAAACAUGAAUGAAUAACUGCUUCAACAAUCCCAAAUGAUGUAGCAAGUGUUUACCAACCUUGGUCCUUUAUUUUCCACCUCCAGGCACAGUCAGGCUGCACCAGAAAUUCCAAGUAAAGUCAAAUGGAAGGUCUUUCUUCUCUGUUCCCAGGUUUCAGAAGAUACACUAAAGGCCCUCUCUGGAGCUAGGUUAAUGUUGGAGCAACUCUAGAAAUUUCCAGGCAUGAUCUACUGGAUCUUCCUCACAUUCCCACUAUGGCUGACCACCCUCUGUAGCUGAGAAGAUAACUUUAAAAUGGAAGACAAUGACAGGAUUCCCAAGGCCUAAGAAGGGAUACGCCCCUGUGAAACCUCAGCAAUAUGGCUGCCUAAACAAGCCUUGUAUACCAACAAUGCUAGUGGACAUACCAGCAAGAGAGGAGCAAAUCUCGUAAGACCUCACCCCAGAUGAAGAGAUACAGGCAAUUGAGGGCUGCUGAGAAAAGGAAAAUCAGUCUUGUCCAGAAAUGAACCUUCUGACAGUUUAUCCAAUCCCAAGAAGUCAUUCCUAAACACACAGGUAU